ensembl:miRNA
GGAUCUCACUGUGUAGUUUAGGCUGGCCUUGAACUCACUAUGUAGCCCAGGCUGGCCUUGAACUCAUGGCAAUCCUCUUGCCUCAGCCUCCCAAGUGCUGGGAUUACAGGUGUGCACCACCA